rnacentral:rRNA from 1 species
GACGAACGCUGGCGGCGUGCUUAACACAUGCAAGUCGAACGGAAAGGCCCUGCUUGUGUGGGGUGCUCGAGUGGCGAACGGGUGAGUAACACGUGAGUAUCCUGCCCUUGACUUUGGGAUAACUUCAGGAAACUGGUGCUACUACCGGAUAGGAGCUCCUGCUGCAUGGUGGGGGUUGGAAAGUUUCGGCUGUUGGGGAUGGACUCGCGGCUUACCAGCUUGUUGGUUGGGUAGUGGCUUACCCAGGGUUUGACGGGUCGCCGGCCUGAGAGGGUGACCGGCCACCUUGGGACUGAGAUACGGCCCAGACUCCUACGGGAGGCAGCAGUGGGGAAUAUUGUCCAAUGGGCGGAAGCCUGAUGCAGAAACGCCGCGUGCGGGAUGACGGCCUUCGGGUUGUAAACCGCUUUCGCCUGUGACGACGCGUGAGUGACGGUACUGGGUAAAGAAGCACCGGCUAACUACGUG